rnacentral:rRNA from 1 species
CAGUCGCCGCGGGAAUACGAAGGGGGCUAGCGUUGUUCGGAUUUACUGGGCGUAAAGCGCACGUAGGCGGACUUUUAAGUCAGGGGUGAAAUCCCGGGGCUCAACCCCGGAACUGCCUUUGAUACUGGGAGUCUUGAGUUCGAGAGAGGUGAGUGGAAUUGCGAGUGUAGAGGUGAAAUUCGUAGAUAUUCGCAGGAACACCAGCGGCGAAGGCGGCCCGCUGGCUCGAUACUGACGCUGAGGUGCGAAAGCGUGGGGAGCAAACAGGAUUAGAUACCCGAGUAGUCCCUGUCUCUUAUAC